AGUCGAACGAAGCACUUUUGCGGAAUCCUUCGGGAGGAAGUGACUGUGACUGAGUGGCGGACGGGUGAGUAACGCGUGGGUAACCUGCCUCACACAGGGGGACAACAGCUGGAAACGGCUGCUAAUACCGCAUAAGCGCACAGUGCCGCAUGGCACGGUGUGAAAAGAUUCAUCGGUGUGAGAUGGACCCGCGUCUGAUUAGCCAGUUGGCAGGGUAACGGCCUACCAAAGCGACGAUCAGUAGCCGGCUUGAGAGAGUGACCGGCCACAUUGGGACUGAGACACGGCCCAGACUCCUACGGGAGGCAGCAGUGGGGAAUAUUGCACAAUGGGGGAAACCCUGAUGCAGCGACGCCGCGUGAGCGAAGAAGUAUUUCGGUAUGUAAAGCUCUAUCAGCAGGGAAGAUAAUGACGGUACCUGACUAAGAAGCUCCGGCUAAAUACGUGCCAGCAGCCGCGGUAAUACGUAUGGAGCAAGCGUUAUCCGGAUUUACUGGGUGUAAAGGGAGCGUAGACGGCAGGGCAAGUCUGAUGUGAAAACCCGGGGCUCAACCCCGGGACUGCAUUGGAAACUGUCCGGCUGGAGUGCAGGAGAGGUAAGUGGAAUUCCUAGUGUAGCGGUGAAAUGCGUAGAUAUUAGGAGGAACACCAGUGGCGAAGGCGGCUUACUGGACUGUAACUGACGUUGAGGCUCGAAAGCGUGGGG
rnacentral:rRNA from 1 species